AUACUUACCUGGCAGGGGAGAUACCAUGAUCAAGAAGUGGUUCACCCAUGCGAGGCCUGGCCAUUGCACUCCGGUGGCUGACCUAUCGAAUUCCCCAAAUGUGGAAUCUCGACUGCAUAAUUUGUGUAGUGGGACUGCGUUCGCGCUCUCCCCUG
rnacentral:snRNA from 1 species